GGCUCGGGCUUGGCGGCGGCGCGGCGCCCGCUCGCGUCCCUCUCUAGGGCCCGGCCGGCCCGGCAGCGUGGGGCGGCGGCGGCGGCGGGGGCGCGGCCAUGGCGGAGUCUCCGGAGCGGCUGCGGCGGCGGGUGGAGGAGCUGGAGCGCCAGCUGGCGCGGGAGAGGAGCCUGCGGGGCGCGGGCGGCGACGGGGGAGGCCGGACCCGCAUCGAGAAGAUGAGCCCGGAGGUGGUGGGCUCCAACCCCUACAGGAACCAGAAACCCCCAGCACAUCUGGCUGUAGACCAGUGACUGAAGAUGUUCCUGAUUCUUCAAGCAGGGGCAGGGGAGGGGCGCUUUAAUGAAGAGAGCUGCCAUCUCUCAUUGCGGCAUUGUGGCGUGGGGGUUGGCCCAGUGGAUAAGCCUCCGGGCUCUCGAGCAUGUGCUUGGAAACAACAACAACAACAACAACAACAGUUGAGUGUUGAGGGAAGAUAAAAAAGACCAUCCCGCCCCAAAGCUGGGACUAUCUGCAUCUGAAUGAAGCCUUUGAAAGGAUGGUCCACACUGGCAAGAUCCAGUUCAUUCAUUCAUUCAUUCAUUCAUUCAUUCAUUCUCCUUACAAAAGAAAGGACACACCUCCUGGUCUCCAUCUCCCCAACUUGUGGUCAGUGGUCAUUUCCCCAUGAAAA